GAAAGGGAAAGGAAUAUUGAAGACUGGGCAUGG
rnacentral:sRNA from 1 species